rnacentral:rRNA from 1 species
UAGUCUACGCCGUAAACGAUGCGCACUAGGUUCGAGAAUCUCUGACGAUUUUCGUGCCGAAACAAAAGCGAUAAGUGCGCCGCCUGGGGAGUACGGCCGCAAGGCUAAAACUCAAAGGAAUUGACGGGGGCUCACACAAGCGGUGGAGCAUGUGGAUUAAUUCGAAGCAACGCGAAGAACCUUACCUGGGUUGAACUACGGCGGAUGCUCUCGGUGAAAGUCGAGUAGGCUGCUUUCGGGUGAAACGUCGAUAGGUGCUGCAUGGCUGUCGUCAGCUCGUGCUGUGAAGUGUCGGGUUAAGUCCCUUAACGAGCGAAACCCUUAUCGUUAGUUACCAGCGGGUAAAGCCGGGAACUCUAGCGAGACUGCCGGCGUUAAGCCGGAGGAAGGCGGGGACGACGUCAAGUCAUCAUGGCCUUUAUGUCCAGGGUGUCACACGUGCUACAAUGGGGCGUACAGAGCGACGCUAGACCGUAAGGUGGAGCAAAUCGCAUAAAACGUCCCUCAGUUCGGA